ACAUGGUUACAACAUAGCGUUAAUGCGUUAGAUUCCAUUAGAACUUUGUAGUUAAGCGUGCUCGGGCUAGAGUAGUACUGGGAUGGGUGACCGCUCGAGAAGUCCUAGUGUUUUACAUGCC
rnacentral:rRNA from 1 species